CCGGAAAGACCUGGAGCUGCGCGCGCAGAACCUCCAUGGUCGGAAGCAGCUAUGAGCAAGAGUUCUCAAGAAGCCAGUGUCCAGUCUUCCUGGCUCAGCUCUCUCCCUCAGAACUGACCGGUCUGCUCACCUCAGUAGUGGAGACCACGUAUUUACAGUCCUGGGAUCACCUGUGAGGUAGCAGCCUUGAUCUUCUGCAUGACUGUCCAGCUAACGCUCACCGACCCUGGUGGCACACUGAGCCUGACCUGAAUGGAUGCAAAUCCAGAUGCUAGCCAUCCUGCCAGCUCACCUCUCACAAGCACCUUUACCUCUGCUUCCCACAGACCCUCAGGCACCAGUCAUGAACCUCAGAAGAUCUUUCUAUUUCUGCACCUACAUAGCUUAUAGCGGGCUUCGACAGCACAUAUGGAUAUGACCUGUAAGAGAUAAACCGGUUUCAUGUAGAAAACCUUACUACUCGGCACAUCUACCCACUCGAAGUAGAAAUCCUCCAGCACUUUUAGCAAGUGAAUUCAAAU